AACGCACAUUGCGCCCGCCAGCAUUCUGGCGGGCAUGCCUGUUCGAGCGUCAUUUCAACCCUCGCAGCCCCUCUGGGCAGCGGUGUUGGGGACCGGCACAACUGGCGCGCCCCCGUGGCGCCCGGCGCCGCCCCCGAAAUACAGUGGCGGUCCCGCCGCAGCCUCCCUUGCGUAGUAGCACACCUCGCACCGGAGCGCGGCGCGGCCAUGCCGUAAAACCCCCGACUUUCUGAGUUUGACCUCGAAUCAGGUAGGAAUACCCGCUGAACUUAA
rnacentral:misc_RNA from 1 species